rnacentral:misc_RNA from 1 species
GCCGUUUGUUAAUUCAUUAUUCUAGAAAAAUCAGUAAAAGUUCCACCAAGGGCAGAAAAAGGUUGAUCCUUAAGCUACUAGGCAAUCUGGAUACAUGACUUACAAGGAGCACAAUAGAUCAAGGGAAACGGAUAGCGUGUUCAAAUGCUGCCUCACAUAUAUCAGAUCAAACAACUGUAUCGGGAUAUGGAGUGAGGUUGGUGAACUCGUGUCAAUAUUGAUAAUAGGAUCAAUCUAGGUGGGAACUCAGCUAAAAGAAAGAGCUCCCCUUGGCUGAAAAUCACAUAAAUAAUGGAGUGCCAACAAGGAAAAAGUAGCCUGUAAGAAUGGUUCCCUCUUUGUUUCUUGAACAAGAACUACAAUUCAGCUUUGGUGGACUGCGUCUCAUCUCUGCCCAUUGAGAAGAGCCAACGAAACAGUUGUGAUAACUUGCUAGUUUCAAGCUUCUGCUCUGGUUGCUCCAGCCUUUUAGCGCAGAGUGUAUUAUAGUCGUGCUUUAAAUGGGGAGCAACUAUCAUUUCCUUAAACUCUUC